GACGCUGGCGGUGCGCCUUAUGCAUGCAAGUCGAGCGAAGCUUUUCAGUAGUUUACUACAGAAAAUGACUGAGCGGCGAACGGGUGAGUAACGCGUGAGCAACCUACCUUAGUUACUGGGAUAGCCCGAGGAAACUCGGAUUAAUACCGGAUAUUCUUAUUUAAUCACAUGAUUUUUUAAGGAAAGGUCAGCCGAACUAAGAUGGGCUCGCGUUCUAUCAGCUAGUUGGUGGGGUAAUAGCCUACCAAGGCUACGACGGAUAGCUGGUCUGAGAGGACGAUCAGCCACACUGGGACUGAGACACGGCCCAGACUCCUACGGGAGGCUGCAGCAGGGAAUAUUGUGCAAUGAACGAAAGUUUGACACAGCGACACCGCGUGUGGGAUGACGGAUCUAGGUUUGUAAACCACUUUCAGGAGGGAAGAAAAUGACGGUACCUCCACAAGAAGCCCCGGCCAACUACGUGCCAGCAGCCGCGGUAAUACGUAGGGGGCGAGCGUUGUCCGGAUUUAUUGGGCGUAAAGAGCUCGUAGGCGGUUCAACAAGUCGGUCGUGAAAGUUCAGGGCUCAACCCUGAAAUGUCGAUCGAUACUGUUGUGACUAGGAUACGGUAGAGGUGAGUGGAAUUCCGAGUGUAGCGGUGAAAUGCGUAGAUAUUCGGAGGAACACCAAUUGCGAAGGCAGCUCACUGGGCCGCUAUCGACGCUGAGGAGCGAAAGCUAGGGGAGCAAACAGGAUUAGAUACCCUGGUAGUCCUAGCUGUAAACGAUGGAUACUAGACGUAGGAAUUGGAUUAACGAUUUCUGUGUCGUAGCUAACGCGUUAAGUAUCCCGCCUGGGGAGUAC
rnacentral:rRNA from 1 species